GGGAGCUUAGCUCAGUUGGCUAGAGUGUGGGUCUCAUAUCACAUAUGAGUCGGUCUCAGGCCGUCCCAUCCCAAGGUCGUGAGUUCGAGCCUCACAGUUCCCA
rfam:Thielavia terrestris NRRL 8126 chromosome 3, complete sequence.